UACGUAGGGUGCAAGCGUUGUCCGGAAUUAUUGGGCGUAAAGAGCUCGUAGGCGGUCUGUCGCGUCGGCUGUGAAAUCCCGAGGCUCAACCUCGGGUCUGCAGUCGGUACGGGCAAACUAGAGUAUUGCAGGGGAGACUGGGAAUUCCUGGUGUAGCGGUGAAAGUGCGCAGAGUAUCAGGAGGGAACACCGGUGGCGAAGGCGGGUCUCUGGGCGAA
rnacentral:rRNA from 1 species